AGCGAACGCUGGCGGCAGGCCUAACACAUGCAAGUCGAACGAACCCCUCGGGGUUAGUGGCGGACGGGUGAGUAACACGUGGGAACGUGCCUUUAGGUUCGGAAUAACUCAGGGAAACUUGUGCUAAUACCGAAUGUGCCCUUCGGGGGAAAGAUUUAUCGCCUUUAGAGCGGCCCGCGUCUGAUUAGCUAGUUGGUGAGGUAAUGGCUCACCAAGGCUACGAUCAGUAGCUGGUCUGAGAGGAUGACCAGCCACAUUGGGACUGAGACACGGCCCAAACUCCUACGGGAGGCAGCAGUGGGGAAUCUUGCGCAAUGGGCGAAAGCCUGACGCAGCGACGCCGCGUGGGGGAAGAAGGCCCUCGGGUUGUAAACCCCUUUCAGUGGGGACGAGGCCGGCUGGGUUAAUAGCCCUGCCCGGUGACGGUACCCGCAGAAGAAGCCCCGGCUAAC
rnacentral:rRNA from 1 species